rnacentral:rRNA from 1 species
GAUCAUGGCUCAGGAUGAACGCUAGCUACAGGCUUAACACAUGCAAGUCGAGGGGCAGCAUUUUAGUUUGCUUGCAAACUAAAGAUGGCGACCGGCGCACGGGUGAGUAACACGUAUCCAACCUGCCGAUAACUCGGGGAUAGCCCUUCGAAGGAAAGAUUAAUAUCCGAUGGUAUAUUAAAACCGCAUGGUUUUACUAUUAAAGAAUUUCGGUUAUCGAUGGGGAUGCGUUCCAUUAGUUUGUUGGCGGGGUAACGG